AGUGGCGGACGGGUGAGUAACACGUAGGUAACCUACCUUUGCGUUGGGGAUAGCUCAUGGAAACAUGGGGUAAUACCGAAUACGGUUGCCGGUACACAAGUACUGGUAAAGAAAGGCGCUCCUGGCGUCGCGCAAAGAGGGGCCUGCGGCAGAUUAGCUAGUUGGUGAGGUAAUGGCUCACCAAGGCGACGAUCUGUAGCCGGACUGAGAGGUUGGACGGUCACACUGGGACUGAGAACGGCCCAGACUCCUACGGGAGGCAGCAGCUAAGAAUCUUCCGCAAUGGGCGCAAGCCUGACGGAGCGACACCGCAUGAAUGAUGAAGGCAGAGAUGUUGUAAAAUUCUUUUAUCAGGGAGGAAUAAGCCGAUGAGGAAAUGCUUCGGUGAUGACGUUAUCUGAUGAAUAAGCCCCGGCUAAUUACGUGCCAGCAGCCGCGGUAACACGUAAGGGGCAAGCGUUGUUCGGAAUUAUUGGGCGUAAAGGGUGCGCAGGCGGACUGGUAAGUCUGAUGUAAAAGGUGUGGGCUCAACCCGCACAUGCGUUGGAAACUGCUAGUCUCGAAUGGUUGAGGGGAAACUGGAAUUCCUAGUGUAGAGGUAAAAUUUGUAGAUAUUAGGAAGAACACCGGAGGCGAAGGCGAGUUUCUGGCAACCAAUUGACGCUGAGGCACGAAAGCGUGGGGAGCAAACAGGAUUAAAUACCCUGGCAGUCCACGCCGUAAACGAUGUACACUGGAUGUUGGACUUAAGUUCAGUAUCGAAGCUAACGCGAUAAGUGUACCGCCUGGGGAGUAUGCCGGCAACGGUGAAACUCAAAGGAAUUGACGGGCCCCCGCACAAGCGGUGGAGCAUGUGGUUUAAUUCGAUGAUACCCGAGGAACCUUACCAGGUCUUGACAUAUACAGGAAAGCAUUAGAGAUAAUGCCCCUCUUCGGAGUCUGUAUACAGGUGUUGCAUGGCUGUCGUCAGCUCGUGCUGUGAAGUGUUGGGUUAAGUCCCGCAACGAGCGCAACCCCUACUAUCUGUUGCCAGCAUGUAAUGAUGGGGACUCAGAUGGAACUGCCGGUGACAAACCGGAGGAAGGUGGGGACGACGUCAAGUCAUCAUGGCCCUUAUGACCUGGGCUACACACGUGCUACAAUGGCUGGUACAAAGUGCAGCGAACCCGCGAGGGGGAGCGAAACGCAAAAAGCCAGUCUCAGUACAGAUUGGAGUCUGAAACUCGACUCCAUGAAGAUGGAAUCGCUAGUAAUCGCGCAUCAGCAUGGCGCGGUGAAUACGUUCCCGGGGGUUGUACACACCGCCCGUCACACCACCCGAGUUGGGGGUACCCGAAGUCGGUAGUCUAACCGCAAGGAGGACGCUGCCGAAGGUACGCUUGGUAAGGGGGGUGAAGUCGUAACAAGGUAGCC
rnacentral:rRNA from 1 species